rnacentral:lncRNA from 1 species
GUGGAUGUCAGGUGCCCUGCUGUAAGACUUCCAGCUGUGCCCUGCAGAUCAAAAGGGAGGAGAAAUUCUCAGUGUGCAGACAGCACAGUUUGGGGACUGACUACAUUAUAUUUGCUAGACUAAUUUCAAAGUGAUAAAAACUCUUUUUUAUUUAGAAUUUCUUUUUUGUCGGUCACAGUUUAUUAUACAGGUGAGUAUGCAUUGGAUGCUCCUUAUCUGAAAUGCUUCCGAGCAGAAGCAGUUUGGAUUUCAGAUUUUUAAAAAAUAUUUUGACAUAUUCACACAUAUAUCUAUAUGUAAGUGUCUAGAUACAUCAUGAGAUAUCUCAGGAACGGACCCCGGGUCUGAUCGCAAAAUUCACUUAGGCUUCAGAGAUGUGUAUGCGCACAGACUGCAGAUAAUUUUAUACAGCAUUUUUUUUUUUUUUUUUUUUUUACUGCCCCUGUGUCUUGAGUUGAACUCAUCAAGCGAUGACAGGUGUGCAGCUUUCAGCUCCUGAUGGAGAAGCUUGAGAGUGAGGUGUUUUGGCUCUUAGCCUCUCAGAUGAGGAGAGAUCAACAGAUAGUUAAAACAGGAUGCCUUGGUGCGGGCGGCCUUUCUCUUUUUUCUUUCUUUUUUUUUUCUUUCCUCUGUAGUCAGGGUGAUUCUUUGGUGAACUUGUUUUGCAUAUUGACCGGAAGGAAUAAAUGAUCUUUUCUGUCAUCAUAAUAACUUGAAAGGAGACUGUAAAACAGCUGCUUUGUUUUGACAGUAGUCUCCUUUGGAUUCUCACCUGGUGGGGCUUUAAGAUGGGAGUGGGUUGUUGCCCAAUGCCUUGUGGCAUGUAACUCCCUUGUCUCUUUCCACUCUCCUUGUCUUCUGAUAACAGACCAUCGUGCACUUCUUUGCACGUGGGAUUGACCAGUCCACCCCGACUCACCUUCCUGAUAAAUUCUCACUGGUUUUACCAGCUGGGUGUAAUGGGCUGGAAAACCUUGGUUUUCUCCUCGUUAUUGGAACCACUGGUCUUUGAUUUCCUCUGUCUUGGAGAAGCAUCAGUAGUUGCCCUCUUUGGUGUCAGUAAUUGUUAUAAGCAGCUGGUCACAGCCUAGUAGCUUAUCAAAAUGACUUUAAGGACAAGCCAAGCAGGCACUCAGUUGCUCCCCUUAAGCUGGAAUGGCAUUGUGGUAUUCAGUAUAUCACCAUGCUUAAGGACUCCAGACUUAUCAUAGUGGCCUUGGACUUCCAGUUGCAUACUGUGUGGUAAUUAAUUUUUCUGUCCUCUUCUCUACUACUGUAUUAUUAGUGUUGAAACUACACAAAGGUCCAUUAAGUCUAAGGAUGCCUUAAAGGGACGUUAUCUCUGCUGUUAAACUGACAAUACCCUUGAUGUACUCAACAGUACUGCAAAGACCUCCCCCUUCCCCCUCCUUCAAAAGUCAGCAGUUUUUAUUUAUGCAGUCUUGUAUAACUCAGAAGAGAGGCGCCAUAUAAAAAACAUUUUAACAUAGAACACUGAUGACCAAGGACUUUCAAAGAGCAUCUCCCCGGAAGGGAAUGGUCAUUAUCUUUAUAAAGUACUGCUCUGCCCUGUCUCUGUCUUGAAUGGUUGCUCUCCGAGACCUAAAUCCUCCAAGUGGUGCCCACAUCUAUUAUUAUUUUGAAAAAAAAUCGUGAAUGUGGAGAGUCUUUUAUAUGAAGUCAUCCUCACUCAGGGACUGCUUUACUGCAUAAUCUGCAGUCCCCUGACAACAAAUAAAAAAUGGAAAUUAAAAUCUUCUUACCUUAACACAUCCACACUAAUGCUGCUGGAAGCUCGGGGUCUGAAACAGCAAGGAGAUAAGAGUGUUUAGGGAGAGAACAAACUGGACGAACAGCAGAUGAGGUCAGCAGUCAGGGCAGGGCCUGGAAAGGGACCAUGGUGGUGUGAGUGGAGGCCUGGAUCUCUGCCUGCGGUGGGAGAUGCCUAUGUUAGGCUGCCAGCUUAACCCUACAGUAUUGUUCCCAUCCCUGCCUGGUCAGUUCUGCAAGGAGAAUCUGCAGAGAGAAUGCACUGCAAGUCUGUCUGAGGAUUUAAAGCAGCUUCGACAGAGUUUAAUCAAACAGGAAAAGAGGUUUAGCUGCAUGGAGGGAGGGGGUUGGUGUUUUUCUUUCCAUAUAUGCACAGUUAAUUGCAUCUGUUAUUGUGGAUUGCUUUAUUUAUUUUCAAUUAAAAAAUUAGAAGUCGGGGGACUUUUGGUAUAGCAUUGGAAAUGUAAAUGAGCUAAAUACCUAAUAAAAAAUGG